CUGAGCUUGUGAUGAUAUAAAGUUAUCCCUGUCUGAAAAGGAAAUCUUUCUCAUUGUGGAGUUGUCGAUUCUGAAGCUCAG
ensembl:snoRNA small nucleolar RNA R38